GACGAACGCUGGCGGCGUGCUUUACACAUGCAAGUCGAACGGUGAAGGUGGAGCUUGCUCCGCCGGAUCAGUGGCGAACGGGUGAGUAACACGUGGGCAACCUGCCCCUCACUUUGGGAUAACUACUCGAAAGAGUAGCUAAUACCGGCUACGAAGUCUGUAGGCAUCUACGGAUUUGGAAAGUUUUUCGGUUAGGGAUGGGCCCGCGGCCUAUCAGCUUGUUGGUGAGGUAGUGGCUCACCAAGGAGACGACGGGUAGCCGGCCUGAGAGGGCGACCGGCCACACUGGGACUGAGACACGGCCCAGCCUCCUACGGGAGGCAGCAGUGGGGAAUAUUGCGCAAUGGGCGAAAGCCUGACGCAGCAACGCCGCGUGCGGGAUGAAGGCCUUCGGGUUGUAAACCGCUUUCAGCAGGGAAGAAGCGAAAGUGACGGUACCUGCAGAAGAAGCACCGGCUAACUACGUGCCAGCAGCAGCCGCGG
rnacentral:rRNA from 1 species